rnacentral:rRNA from 1 species
UGAGGAAUAUUGGUCAAUGGGCGGGAGCCUGAACCAGCCAAGCCGCGUGAGGGAGGAAGGCCCUAUGGGUCGUAAACCUCUUUUGUCAGGGAACAAAAGCGAGUAUGUAUACUAGUCUGAGUGUACCUGAAGAAAAAGCAUCGGCUAACUCCGUGCCAGCAGCCGCGGUAAUACGGAGGAUGCGAGCGUUAUCCGGAUUUAUUGGGUUUAAAGGGUGCGUAGGCGGCGGUGCAAGUCAGCGGUAAAAGCCCGGGGCUCAACCCCGGCGAGCCGUUGAAACUGCAGUGCUAGAGAAGGCGAGAGGUACGCGGAAUGCGCAGUGUAGCGGUGAAAUGCUUAGAUAUCAUGAAGAACUCCGAUCGCGAAGGCAAGUGCCCGGGGCUGCAAGCUGACGCUGAGGCUCGAAGGUGCGGGUAUCGAACAGGAUUAGAUACC